AAUAGAUACCCAGGUAGUCCACGCCGUAAACGAUGAGUGCUAAGUGUUAGAGGGUUUCCGCCCUUUAGUGCUGCAGCUAACGCAUUAAGCACUCCGCCUGGGGAGUACGGUCGCAAGACUGAAACUCAAAGGAAUUGACGGGGGCCCGCACAAGCGGUGGAGCAUGUGGUUUAAUUCGAAGCAACGCGAAGAACCUUACCAGGUCUUGACAUCCCACUGACCGGUAUAGAGAUAUACCUUUCCCUUCGGGGACAGUGGUGACAGGUGGUGCAUGGUUGUCGUCAGCUCGUGUCGUGAGAUGUUGGGUUAAGUCCCGCAACGAGCGCAACCCUUGAUCCUAGUUGCCAGCAUUUAGUUGGGCACUCUAAGGUGACUGCCGGUGACAAACCGGAGGAAGGUGGGGAUGACGUCAAAUCAUCAUGCCCCUUAUGACCUGGGCUACACACGUGCUACAAUGGAUGGUACAAAGGGCUGCAAGACUGCGAAGUCAAGCCAAUCCCAUAAAACCAUUCUCAGUUCGGAUUGCAGG
rnacentral:rRNA from 1 species